UACGUAGGCAGCAAGCGUUGUUCGGAGUUACUGGGCGUAAAGGGUGCGUAGGCGGCUUUUUAAGUUUGGUGUGAAAUCUCCCGGCUCAACUGGGAGGGUGCGCCGAAUACUGAGAGGCUAGAGUGCGGGAGAGGAAAGUGGAAUUCCUGGUGUGGCGGUGAAAUGCGUAGAUAUCAGGAGGAACACCGGUGGUGUAAACGGCUUUCUGGACCGUAACUGACGCUGAUGCACGAAAGCGUGGGUAGCAAACAGG
rnacentral:rRNA from 1 species